rnacentral:lncRNA from 1 species
AUAUAUAAUAGCACACUAAACCAGGUAUACAAAAAUAUUCUACAAUGACAUGUGGGUCCCAAUAAUCGAAAAUAUACAAGACUGUAGACCUUCGAUUUCUAAGGAUGUAAAUCCAAAAGCAACCCUCGACAAAAUCGGCUGUCUACAGACUGUUUUGAGCCUGAAAUGGGUAAAAAGAAAGGGGUGAGUUUUUAUAAAUCCAGUGAGUAAGCAAAGUUCAUCUACAACAUCUAAAGUCGAGUAAAUGAAGACAGUUAAAUCAUCCCAUCAUAAUAUGAUUCAUAACAUUUAAAACUCAUUUCAAUUCAUAUAAAACAAUUACAUUUCAUCAAAAUAAUCAACAAGGCUUAUGAUUCUCUUAAAAACUUGGCUUGUGCCAAAACUCAUACUUAGGGACAUCUUGGCCCGGGCAUCCAACCGAGUCUGCCAAGGAUGUUAAAACGACAUAUACCCAUAAAACAUGUUUUUACUUUUAAAAUAUAGCUAUUCCUUGGUGUUGGCUAAGUUUCAUUCUCACGUGGUAGUUCGGCGUGAAGUGAACUCUAAACUUACCUUAAGAGAUACCUUUCGUGCCUCUCAUACUAAGGUAAAAUAUAAAGGGGUUUACCGUGCCCCUCUAAUAGGCUGGUUCACGAAAACCCGCCCACUACAGUAAGCUAAUUAAUUACCCUACCAAAUCAAUAAACAUUUUGACAGGAUGACAUGGCUAAUGUGAUAUUACCUAACCUGUCAAGGUAAAACAAAACAGUUCAUAUAUUCCACACAAACACAAAUCUAACCAUUCAUGCCAUCACAUUAUCAUAAGCCAUCAAUUCAAACCAUAUGUCAAAACAUAUAUAUAACACAAGUAUAUAGUCUCCACUUACUCAAUUUCCAAAACCAUGAUUCAAUUUCAAGCAAGUUAUAAAUCUCAUUUCGUUUAACCAAUAUUUCAAUUUUAAAACAUAAUAAUUUACAAUUUAAAUUUAUUAUUCUUUAAAAUCAUAAAAACGAGUAUAAACUACUUUAGAUAGUUAAGAUGAUCGUCCGAUUACUCACAAUAACGGGAGUUCGGAGUACUCCUAUUCUUGGUCCUCGGGUACGAUAUCUUUACCCUUAUCAGAGGGCUCACUUCCUAUACAUAAUACACGAUACGUAAUUCAAUAUAUUUGUGCCAAACUGUUAUAAAACUAUUUCAGGCUCUAUAUGAAUACAUGAAAUUGAAUGAGAAUUGUUCGAAAUCACUUAAAGAUGGUGUUCUACGUGAGUUCAAUUAUGAUUGGACUGAAUUUGUAUUCAACCUAACUCGAACUAUACACUGUUGAAUUAACCAAAACAUUCGAUUCAACUUCAAAUAUAUUCAUUGCACUUCCAAUAUUCCAAAUACACCAAAAACCUCAAUGAGCUUGAUUGUGACUUAAUUCAUCAUAACCAAAAUUCAUUCCGAUUCUAAACUAACGUGCUAAUCAGUGUUAACACAGUCCAAUAAAUCCAUCUACAUCAUUAGGAAUCAAAUCCAAGUCCAUUUACUAUGAUUUUCUCAUUAUUGUUCAAGUCGUUUACUAAAGGAACUAUACUUUUUGAUAGUCGUUUUCGAUAUCCGAUACCAUAAAUCAUCAAUUACGAGCUAAAUAACAUGAAAUACAACAAAAUCCAUCAUCAACAUGUCAUCUAUAAAAUUCGGCCAAAGAGGGAUGCUGAAGGGCAUGUGAUUUUCUUGCUUGUUUUUCAUGCCAAACAUCAUCAAACAACUAAAAAUACUAAGAUAUCAUGAAAUCUAGCAAAAUCUAUCAUCAAAACCUCUCUCCCUAUGUUCAGCCAACAAGUAUUCCCUCAUAGAAACUUGUGUUUCAACCAUAGAAAAUGAAAAAGAAAGCAUGGAAAAGGUAGAUUUUAAGCUAAAAUUGAAAAAUCUUACCUUUGAUUGCUUUGUUCUUUCAAAUUCAAUAAAUUUCUCUUGAAUUUUCCUCUCUAGGGUUUGUUUCUAUUAUUUUCUCUUUGUUCUUUG